AUGAAUAAAAAAGAUAAAAAGAAGAAGGAACCCUUCAAUGUAGCAGUGCGUUCAUUUUUUUUGUUUCCCUCUGUGUUUUUUGUUAGAUUUUUUUCCGUUUGGCCUAGUUUUUCCUGUGCUGUUUCUUAUCUUGUUUCCACCGUUUGUGGUCGGGUUGUCUUGGUUGUUUUUUCUUGUUUUUUUGUUUUUGUUAUUAUUUCUUCACUGAAUUUUCUCCUGUUUUCAUUAACUUUCGGGUUAUACUUCUUUUUUUGGUUUUUUCAUCAAUUUUCUUUGGGUUUUUCAUCUUCUUUAUAUCUUGGGUGUUUUUUCUCUCUCGUCUCUUUGUCUUAUUCAUCUAUCUUUUAG
rnacentral:rRNA from 1 species